rnacentral:rRNA from 1 species
UACGUAUGAAGCAAGCGUUGUUCGGAAUUAUUGGGCGUAAAGGGCAUCUAGGCGGGAUGUUAAGUCAGGUGUGAAAGCCAAGGGCUCAACCCUUGAACUGCAUUUGAUACUGACAUUCUUGAGUUCGGAAGAGGAAGGCGGAAUACCCGGUGUAGCGGUGAAAUGCGUAGAUAUCGGGUAGAACACCGGUGGCGAAGGCGGCCUUCUGGUCUAGAACUGACGCUGACAUGCGAAAGUGUGGGGAUCAAACGGG